GCAAAAUUGACAAACUCCUCCGAUGAGUCAUCGAUGGGCUCCGCUGUGUACUUCUCCAGCAGCGUUUUCACAGAGAACCUGGGCGUUGAGGUGGGGAGAUGGGGCAGUGGGGUGUCAGGUGAGGAAACAGGUGAUGGAGGGAGAGACAGGGAGCAACCGGCAGAGAAGAAAGAGGUCAGGAAGGGCAUGGAUGUGGUGGGCGGCAGAGCAAGUGGGGAGACAGGCAAGACUACAGUGACCAUAGAGGUAGAGAAAUUGAUGGUCCAAGAGGUUGACUGAUCUGUUCAGAGUCAUAUGGCUUAUGAGUAGUCAAGCAGGUAUGUCUGAUU
rnacentral:lncRNA from 1 species